AUAUGGGUCAGUGAUGUUGUGUUGUCCCUUGAUGAUCCGGCCUUUUUGUGUUACUUGUUUGCAGGAUAAGAUACGGGUUGUUUUUUCGCCAAUUGAAAUAUCCAUCAAAAUGUCAGCUCCAGGAUCAAGUGCCAGUCAAGUGAAUAGAAUGGCGAUACUUGAAGACCUGCAGGAGAA